rnacentral:tRNA from 8 species
GCCCUAAUAGUCUAGUGGUAAAACACGUCCUUGGUAAGGACGAGUCGCAAGUCCGAUUCUUGCUUAGGGCACCA